rnacentral:rRNA from 1 species
UACGGAGGGUGCGAGCGUUGUCCGGAAUCACUGGGCGUAAAGGGCGCGUAGGCGGCCCUGGCAGUCGGUGGUGAAAGCCCGUGGCUCAACUGCGGGUCGGCCACCGGAUACUCCAGGGCUCGAGUUUGGUAGAGGCAGAUGGAAUUCCGGGUGUAGCGGUGGAAUGCGUAGAGAUCCGGAAGAACACCGGUGGCGAAGGCGGUCUG